AACCUUUCACCACAGAGUUGCAUGAAAAUUCCGGUGGCAACCAGUUUUCGAUUGAAAACAACGUUUUGCAUGAGUCAUGCAACAGUCACAUUACAUUCAUGUCAACUCUGCUUGAUUUCCACGCAGCUUACACUCACACAACAAAAUACCACGUGAAAUUCAUGCCUGAAAAUUUAGAGGCGUGGCUUGCGGGUCAGCUGAUUUGGGUUUGCAUGAAAUUCAUGUAACAUGCGCAAGUAAAGUGGUAUGGAAAAUAUCCACUGACCAUUUCAUGCAACAUUGUGGUGAAAAGUGACGACGAUGAGCAGAGUUGAAAAGUUGCGUGAUUUUCCUGUCUGAAAAUUUUGAGCCAGGCGUGCAAGGCUGUGGGCAAUCGCCAUUCAGUUUGCUGCUGCUUCUCAUCGACUAAACAUAGUUUCUGCCAUCGGUCACCGGAACAGAAAUAGUAUUGAUCUUUGAAAUCGAUACGUGCAAAACCACGGAUCCAGAACGUCCAGCACGCCUAAUCGGAGCCUCCACCACAAUGGCCAAGUGUAGCAUUAGGCAAGAGGUGCGCAAGGCCCAGCGGGACCGGUCUCCAAGGGAGUCAAGCAGGCUGCGAAGAAGGUGAUGGAAGUAUCGGCCGGUAUACUGUUCGUGGCCGUGGCCAUUGUUUGCAAUCGAGAUUCCGGUAUAAAACCGACAACCGUCGGUAAAAGGGUAGGCCGCCCAGCUGUCCGCAAGCUACUAGCGAUUAGCCCCAAACCUGGACCAUUUUUGCGUGUGUGUGCUGAUGUCUGUGCUGUGUGUUUUUUUUUUGUGGUGUGAUGUAGUAAGGAAAAUGUGAUGUGAUUUAUGAAAAUUUGAAAAUAAAAGGA